GACGAACCGUGCGAACGUUGUUCGGAAUCACUGGGCUUAAAGGGCGCGUAGGCGGGCUGUAAAGUCAGUGGUGAAAUCCUUCAGCUCAACUGGAGAAGUGCCGCUGAUACUGACAGUCUCGAGGGAGGUAGGGGUCGAUGGAACUAAUGGUGGAGCGGUGAAAUGCGUUGAUAUCUACAGGAACUCCGGUGGCGAAAGCGGCGUGCUGGACCUUUUCGACGCUGAGGCGCGAAAGCUAGGGGAGCAACGGGG
rnacentral:rRNA from 1 species